rnacentral:rRNA from 1 species
AUUGAACGCUGGCGGCAGGCCUAACACAUGCAAGUCGAGCGGAUGAAGGGAGCUUGCUCCUGGAUUCAGCGGCGGACGGGUGAGUAAUGCCUAGGAAUCUGCCUGGUAGUGGGGGAUAACGUCCGGAAACGGGCGCUAAUACCGCAUACGUCCUGAGGGAGAAAGUGGGGGAUCUUCGGACCUCACGCUCUCAGAUGAGCCUAGGUCGGAUUAGCUAGUUGGUGGGGUAAAGGCCUACCAAGGCGACGAUCCGUAACUGGUCUGAGAGGAUGAUCAGUCACACUAGAACUGAGACACGGUCCAGACUCCUACGGGAGGCAGCAGUGGGGAAUAUUGGACAAUGGGCGAAAGCCUGAUCCAGCCAUGCCGCGUGUGUGAAGAAGGUCUUCGGAUUGUAAAGCACUUUAAGUUGGGAGGAAGGGCAGUAAGUUAAUACCUUGCUGUUUUGACGUUACCAACAGAAUAAGCACCGGCUAACUUCGUG